rnacentral:rRNA from 1 species
CGGUAAUACGUAGGGUGCGAGCGUUGUCCGGAAUUAUUGGGCGUAAAGGGCUCGUAGGCGGUUUGUCGCGUCGGGAGUGAAAACGCCGUGCUUAACACGGCGCUUGCUUUCGAUACGGGCAGACUAGAGGUAUUCAGGGGAGAACGGAAUUCCUGGUGUAGCGGUGAAAUGCGCAGAUAUCAGGAGGAACACCGGUGGCGAAGGCGGUUCUCUGGGAAUGACCUGACGCUGAGGAGCGAAAGUGUGGGGAGCGAACAGGAUUAGAUACCCUGGUAGUCCACACCGUAAACGUUGGGCGCUAGGUGUGGGGUCCAUUCCACGGAUUCCGUGCCGCAGCUAACGCAUUAAGCGCCCCGCCUGGGGAGUACGGCCGCAAGGCUAAA